rnacentral:rRNA from 1 species
AUUGAACGCUGGCGGCAGGCCUAACACAUGCAAGUCGAACGGUAGCACAGAGAGCUUGCUCUCGGGUGACGAGUGGCGGACGGGUGAGUAAUGUCUGGGAAACUGCCCGAUGGAGGGGGAUAACUACUGGAAACGGUAGCUAAUACCGCAUAACGUCGCAAGACCAAAGUGGGGGACCUUCGGGCCUCACACCAUCGGAUGUGCCCAGAUGGGAUUAGCUAGUAGGUGGGGUAAUGGCUCACCUAGGCGACGAUCCCUAGCUGGUCUGAGAGGAUGACCGGCCACACGGGAACUGAGACACGGUCCAGACUCCUACGGGAGGCAGCAGUGGGGAAUAUUGCACAAUGGGCGCAAGCCUGAUGCAGCCAUGCCGGGUGUAUGAAGAAGGCCUUCGGGUUGUAAAGUACUUUCAGCGGGGAGGAAGGCGGUGAAGCUAAUAGCUUCACCGAUUGACGUUACCCGCAGAAGAAGCACCGGCUAACUCCGUGCCAGCUGCCGCCGUAA